GAUGAACGCUAGCGGCAGGCUUAAUACAUGCAAGUCGAGGGGCAGCGCAGUGUAGCAAUACAUGGGCGGCGACCGGCAAACGGGUGCGGAACACGUACGCAACCUUCCUUUAAGUGGGGGAUAGCCCAGGGAAACUUGGAUUAAUACCCCGUAAUAUUAUGAAGUGGCAUCACUUUAUACUUAUAGCUCCGGCGCUUAAAGAUGGGCGUGCGACUGAUUAGGUAGUUGGCGGGGUAACGGCCCACCAAGCCUGCGAUCAGUAACUGGUGUGAGAGCACGACCAGUCACACGGGCACUGAGACACGGGCCCGACUCCUACGGGGGCAGCAGUAAGGAAUAUUGGUCAAUGGACGCAAGUCUGAACCAGCCAUGCCGCGUGGAGGAUGAAGGUCCUCUGGAUUGUAAACUGCUUUUGUACGAGGGUAAACCUACUUACGUGUAAGUAGCUGAAAGUAUCGUACGAAUAAGGGUCGGCUAACUCCGUGCCAGCAGCCGCCGUAAGAC
rnacentral:rRNA from 1 species